rnacentral:rRNA from 1 species
GAUGAACGCUGGCGGCGUGCCUAAUACAUGCAAGUCGAGCGAACAGACGAGGAGCUUGCUCCUCUGACGUUAGCGGCGGACGGGUGAGUAACACGUGGAUAACCUACCUAUAAGACUGGGAUAACUUCGGGAAACCGGAGCUAAUACCGGAUAAUAUAUUGAACCGCAUGGUUCAAUAGUGAAAGACGGUUUUGCUGUCACUUAUAGAUGGAUCCGCGCCGCAUUAGCUAGUUGGUAAGGUAACGGCUUACCAAGGCAACGAUGCGUAGCCGACCUGAGAGGGGAAUCGCACAACGGGACAGAGAGACGGGCGCGAGACCCCACGGGGGGGCAAGAGGGGGAAAUUGUCCGAAAGGGGGAAACGCGAGCGAGACAAACCCCGGGGGGGUAAAAGAGGUUUUGGGAGGGAAAAACUUUUUUUUGGGGAAAAAAAAAAUGGGUAAAUAACUAGGCCCGUUUUGGGGACCCAAAAAAAAAAAGCCGGGGAAAACCACG